AUGAGAAAGAAGCCAGCUCUAUCUGAGGGCAGCAAUCCUGAUGGUAAUUUCCUCCAGGAACACUGGCUGGUUGAGGACAUGUUCAUUUUUGAUAAUGUAGGCUUCACCAAGGACGUGGGAAACAUCAAGUUUCUGGUCUGCGCAGACUGUGUAAUUGGACCAAUUGGCUGGCAUUGCCUAGAUGACAAGAACAUUUCUGUCAUCAAAUGCAAAGCAGCUGUGCUAUGGGAGGUAAAAGAAACCCUUUUCCAUUGAGAUCAUGGAGGUUACCUCCUAAGGCUUAUAGGAUUCGCAUUAAGGUGAAGUAUUUUUCCCAUUCUACAGCAGAUGACCACGUGGUUAGUGGUACCCUGGUGAACCCCCUUCCUGUGAUUUUAGGCCAUGAGGCAGCCGGCAUCGUGGAAAGUGUUGGAGAAGGGGUGACUACAGGUAUCCUCAUUAUUCCUCAGUGUGGAAAAUGCAGAAUUUGUAAAACCGGAGAGGAACUGCUGCUUGAAAAGCAAUGUGAGCAAUCCUCGGGGGACCCUGCAGGAUGGCACUACCAGGUUCACCUGCAGGGGGAAGCCAUCCACCCACUUCCUCCCGGGUGUCAGCACCUUCUCACGAGUACACGGUGGUGGAUGGGAAUGCAGUAACAAAAUUGAUACAGCCUCACCCAUGGAGAAAGUCUGCCUUAUUGGCUGUGGAUUUUCAACUGGUUAUGGGUCUGCAGUCAAAGUUGCCAAGGUACGAAUGACAACGGUAACCCAGGGCUCUACCUGUGCUGUGUUUGGCCUGGGAGAAUUCAGCCUAUCUGCUGUUAUGGGCUGUAAAGCAGCUGGAGCAGCCAGAAUCAUUGCGGUGGACAUCAACAAGGACAAAUUUGCAAAGGCCAAAGAGUUGGGUGCCACUGAAUGCAUCAACCCUCAAGACUACAAGAAACUCAUCCAGGAGGUGCUAAAGGAAUGACUGAUGGAGGUGUGGAUUUUCGUUUGAAGUCAUCGGUCGGCUUGAUACAAUGAUGGCUUCCCUGUUAUGUUGUCAUGAGGCAUGUGGCACAAGCGUCAUCGUAGGGGUACCUCCUGAUUCCCAGAACCUCUCAAUAAACCCUGUGCUGCUACUGACUGGACGCACCUGGAAGGGGGCUGUUUAUGGUGGCUUAAAGGGUAAAGAAGGUAACCCAAAACUUGUGGCUGAUUUUAUGGCUAAGAAGUUUUCACUGGAUGCAUUAAUAACCCAUGUUUUACCUUUUGAAAAAAUAAAUGAAGGCUUUGACCUGCUUCGCUCUGGGAAAAGUAUCCGUACCGUCCUGACGUUUUGAGGCAAUACAGAUGCCUUCCCUUGUAGCAGUCUUCAUCCUCCUCUGCCCUACAUGAUCUGGAGCAACAGCUGGGAAAUAUCAUAAUUCUGCUCUUCAGAGAUGUAUUCAAUAAAUUACACAUAGGGGCUUUCUAAAGAAAUGGAAAUUGAUGGGAAAUUAUUUUUCAAGCAAAAAUUUAAAAUUCAAGUGAGAAUUAAAUAAAGUGUUGAACAUCAGCUGGGGAAUUGAAGCCAAUAAACCGUCCUUCUUAACCAUUCUACUGUGUCAUCUUUGCCAUUGAGGAAAAAUAUUUCCUGUGACUUCUUG